GACAGAGGGUGCAAACGUUGCUCGGAAUCACUGGGCGUAAAGGGCGUGUAGGCGGGAAGGAAAGUCGGGCGUGAAAUCCCUGGGCUCAACCCAGGAACUGCACUCGAAACUUCUUUUCUUGAGUGCCGGAGAGGAAAGCGGAAUACCUGGUGUAGAGGUGAAAUUCGUAGAUAUCAGGUGGAACACCAGUGGCGAAGGCGGCUUUCUGGGACGGUAACUGAC
rnacentral:rRNA from 1 species